rnacentral:rRNA from 1 species
UACGUAGGGUGCGAGCGUUAAUCGGAAUUACUGGGCGUAAAGCGUGCGCAGGCGGUUCGUUGUGUCUGAUGUGAAAGCCCCGGGCUCAACCUGGGAAUGGCAUUGGAAACUGGCGAGCUAGAGUGUGGCAGAGGGGGGUGGAAUUCCGCGUGUAGCAGUGAAAUGCGUAGAGAUGCGGAGGAACACCAGUGGCGAAGGCGGCUACCUGGACCAGCACUGACACUGAGGCACGAAAGCGUGGGGAGCAAACAGG